rnacentral:tRNA from 1 species
GGGCCUAUAGCUCAGCUGGUUAGAGCGCACGCCUGAUAAGCGUGAGGUCGAUGNGAAAACUAGAUAAG